UACUCGUGCAUGGAAGGAGCACACAGUGCUCCCAUUUUUGUUUGGCUUGCCUCCUUGCUGCUUAUGCUCCUAAAGAGCACAUUACUUGCAAUGUGCUGCCCACCCUGUUCUAAGCAAUGAGGCAGCAUCAUAAUAUGUGGGACAUUUUUUAAAACUGUUGUUGCCCGUGGAUACAGUUGCUGUUGUUUCAUUAUUUUUUUUCUACUGAAGUUUCAAUUGAGAUGAAAACUUUUUCAUUGGGAUCUAAUGAAGAGAGACCUUGACAACAGAGCCAGAGAGAUGGUGAAAUCAUGGGAGCAAGAAGUGGGGACGCUAAAGAAAAAAAGUCAAAACAUAACAGCAUCUCUAAAGAUUGCCACCCAACCAAAGCUACUAUGGCAAAAGCUGAUGUGUGCAUGGAGUUUUGACAAGGAUGAGGAAAACGUGAAGCUGUAAAUCAAUAGAUCGCUUAUGAAUAUAUUGAACAGCACAGAUCCAUGGGGGACACUGCUAUUCACUGGAACGAUUUUCUCAAAGUAAAUGGUGAAACUCAACUACAUGAAGAAAGUAAGAUAUAGAGCAAAAGGGAUAAACAUAGUGAUGUGAUUUUUACAUAAGAAUGGCGAGAGAAACAGAAUUACUUAAAGAAUAUUUUUUAAAAAAACCCUAAAGCUGAUUUGACUAAUUCGUCUUGGCAUUUUCUUCCAAGUUCUAAUACUUCUUGGCAUUUUCUUCCAAGUUCUAAACUAAUUUAGUGCAGGAAAAUACAGUACAGUUAGCAUUCAACUUUAAUUGCAAUGAGGUGACAACAUACUGAGUAACUCAUUAUGAGUUGUAGAUGUGUUUACAAUGAGUUGACAAUGUGUUGGAUAAAGUGUUCUUCUAAAGUUGUAGAUCUAUUUACAGUGAGCAGUGGGGGAAUGUUCAUUAGUUGUCGAUUUGUUUGUUUACAUUGUUUUCGAUUUGCAAUUGCGAUAAAACAAAUUGCAGACUGAUGAAGGAUGAUUGUU